AUUGAACGCUGGCGGCAGUCCUAACACAUGCAAGACGAGCGGAUGAAGGGAUCUUGCUCCUGUAUUCAGCGGCGGACGGGUGAGUAAUGCCUAGGAAUCUGCCUGGUAGUGGGGGAUAACGUCCGGAAACGGGCGCUAAUACCGCAUACGUCCUGAGGGAGAAAGUGGGUGAUCUUCGGACCUCACGCUAUCAGAUGAGCCUAGGUCGGAUUAGCUAGUUGGUGGGGUAAAGGCCUACCAAGGCGACGAUCCGUAACUGGUCUGAGAGGAUGAUCAGUCACACUGGAACUGAGACACGGUCCAGACUCCUACGGGAGGCAGCAGUGGGGAAUAUUGGACAAUGGGCGAAAGCCUGAUCCAGCCAUGCCGCGUGUGUGAAGAAGGUCUUCGGAUUGUAAAGCACUUUAAGUUGGGAGGAAGGGCAGUAAGUUAAUACCUUGCUGUUUUGACGUUACCAACAGAAUAAGCACCGGAUAACUUCGUG
rnacentral:rRNA from 1 species